UUCAAUUAUAGCAUAAAUAAUGCAUUGAAUUUAGAAAUCAAAGAUGGUGUCGUUGUAACCUAAUUGUAA
rnacentral:tRNA from 1 species